CCAACGUCAGCAUGCUUUUCCAAUUCCGACUGCUUCGAAACCGGUUGUCAAUCUUCUCCUUCAUUUCCCCCAUACGCUCUCGCCAUGCCACGAUGGGAACGACCACAACCGGUGUAAACACCCCACAUUCAGAGUUGAAAGUCUCCAGGGAAAAGACGUCGGGCUCGGUCGGAUAGGGACCGGUGAUUUUAGGAGCACGAAGACUGGCGCGGAAAAACCAACGACCCGCGGCCGAAGAUUUCGUCUCCCAAGUAGCGCUGAACAGAAUUCUUCUCUCACUCAACUCAGCCAUCGUCGGGAGGCCCCUGGACUCCUGUCACGAUUUAACAAACUGGCGGACCCAAAAGCAGACAAGAAGACAGAUCCAAAGUCCAAAGGUUUUAAUUUAAACAAACGUGGGAUGAGGGAGAGGAGUAGUCAGCUGGAGUGGAGGUGUUUGGCAGGCAAGAAGGCUUGGAGUAGGUAGGCACUGAAGGCAGACGAAAACAGGGACAUCCAUCCGGAUUUCUGAAUGCCUUCCUCGAUCCUCGACCCAUGCUCGGACACCGACUACGCUGCCACUCUCCUACCCUCGACUGCCUGCUUUCUUACGGACUGCCUCUUCGCCUUGCCCCCUUGACUCGACGAAAGUUCCAUCCAACACUCACAGACAACAAACUCUGGUAAUGCUUACACGGUUAAUUCUACACAUCGUCUACACCCAGUCACUUAGAGUAGCAUACACACGCCACUCACUCAUCAAAGGUUUCACAAAACCUUGUAAACCACAGUUCAGCCUUGGUUGUCGCCUCCUUCCAUUCUCAGUACAUAACAAAAACAUUAGUACAACUUCUCAGAGGGUGAGAUAACUCCUGGAAAUUACUGUCAUAGAAUGGCCAAAGGUGUGUGUCCAAGUUAAAGGACGUAUUACAAUCUUUGCAAGCUGGGUAACGUUUGCUGUGGUCUGGAACAACAUGGCGACAAACAACUAUAAGAAAUGCAGCCAAUAUUACAUACAGAUAAUGUGUCAUGCAGCAUGGAAAAAUAAACUAAAUACACAUAAGGAAAUUAAAUGAGCUCAAAUAUAGCUACAAAUGAGGCAUAUAAUGCAAUAUGUACAUACAGCUAGCCUAAAUAGCAUGUUAGCAUCUAUUAGCUUGCAGUCAUGCAGUGACCUGAUGAGCACUCAACACAAAACGAUAACAUCAACAAAGCUCACCUUUGUGCAUUCACGCACAGCAUAAAAUGUUUGGUGGACAAAAUGAGAAAGAAAGAGUGGCAUAAAACAUGUCUUUCUGUGGCAGCAUGUAAACAAACUGUUGAGUCACAAUCCACACAAUGGUGAGUUCAAGGGCUGCUGAAAUUAGUAGGACAAAACGGCACUCACCAAAUACUCUCAUCAGUGAAGCAUAAACACAAACAUAUUAAGCGGUGGGCUUUCUAACAAUUGGGAAUGUUUGUGUCGUGUUUGUCCUACAGAAACCAUAUUACAACAAAAAACAUUUUUCACCCCAUUUUUUUUUCCAUUUUCAUACAUUUUUGAAAAAGCUCCAUGGAGCCACCAGGGCACCGCUAAAGAGCCGCAUGUGGCCCUAGAGCCGCGGGUUGCUGUCCCCCGGACUAUACUUUACUAAAGUACAAGUUACACAUGAACGUACCGCUGCAUGUCCCUCCUCCAUCAGGCCUAUCGGUCCGCGUGAGGACAUUCCCAUGUUGAACAGAUAGUUAGAACUACACGCAAGCCCUUCUAACACCCAGAACACAUCACCUUGAGACCAACACAAGGCUAAAGAACUGUCAUUAUGAUCAGAAUCGACAUGGAUCACUCAGCUGGUGAGUCCUAAAAAAUUCACUCCCCAUUAAUAGAGAAUAUAUAUUUUCUCAUGCCAUACAGUUUUUAAAGCCUGUUUUUAUUUAUCUUAAUACAGGGGUGUUAUAAAGGAAUCAAUAGAAGUAAAAAAGCAUGGUUGGUUACAUGACAAAGGUGCAUGAUGGACUUGAACACUGCAUCGUCACAUACCAUUGGAUGGGCAUUCUGUAAGGACGAUACAUUACACGACCAACACACCCAGAGAUGAGGACAUUGAAAUCAUGAGAUAUGUAUGCAAAAAGCCAGAACUGUGGAACCACCGACUGUCCCAUGGGAUUUGAUGGUCCUGAAUGUUGUUCACACGUCUAAAACAUUGUCUGGCAUUUUUAAAAUUGUGUUAAUGGAUUGGAAUGACGACCAUUUUCACAUAGCCCACCUGUUCACUGUCUAUGCACUGUUUAUGGAUGUUGUGAUGUAUUGCAUACAAAAUUCCAUAACUGUAAACAUUACCGCAGAGUUAACAUGACUACAAACAAUAAUUGAACUGAAAGCAAAACAAUCCGUAUUAAAGCAGGGUCUCAGGGUCAUCUGAUCAUGAAUGUUUCUAUCAAUUUAUCUUUAUA